rnacentral:rRNA from 1 species
CCCUUAGAUGUUCUGGGCCGCACGCGCGCUACACUGAGCCCUUCAUCGAGUUUACAACCUUGGCCGGUAGGUCUGGGUAAUCUUCUCAAAGGGGCUCGUGCUGGGGAUAGAUUAUUGUAAUUUUUAAUCUUCAACGAGGAAUUCCUAGUAAACGCAAGUCAACAGCUUGCAUUGAUUACGUCCCUGCCCUUUGUACACACCGCCCGUCGCUACUACCGAUUGAAUGGCUUAGUGAGCCCGAGGGACUGUUGCACCUAGAGGGUCUUCUCUCCAGGAGCAGCCGGGAACUCGGUCAAACUUGAUCAUUUAGAGGAAGUAAAAGUCGUAACA